CCUACGGGUGGCAGCAGUGGGGAAUAUUGGGCAAUGGAGGCAACUCUGACCCAGCAAUGCCGCGUGAGUGACGAAGGUAAUCGUAUUGUAAAGUUCUUUUCUUUGGAACGAAUAAAUGACGGUACCAAAGGAAUAAGCCCCGGCUAACUACGUGCCAGCAGCCGCGGUAAUACGUAGGGGGCAAGCGUUGUUCGGAAUGACUGGGCGUGAAGGGUGAGUAGGUGGUUUGUUAAGUUAGAUGUGUAAUACCCAGGGCUUAACUCGGGUACUGCAUCUAAAACUGUUAGACUUGAGUACUGGAGAGGAUAGCGGAAUUCCUAGUGUAGCGGUGGAAUGCGUAGAUAUUAGGAGGAACAACAGUGGCGAAGGCGACUAUCUGGACAGCAACUGACGCUGAGGCGCGAAAGCGUGGGGAGCAAACAGGAUUAGAUACCCGUGUAGUC
rnacentral:rRNA from 1 species